AGGGUUGUAGCUCAGUGGUAGAGCACUCGCCUGUCACGUGUGAGAACCUGGGUUCGAUCCUCAGCAACACAU
rnacentral:tRNA from 1 species